GACGAACGCUGGCGGCGUGCUUAACACAUGCAAGUCGAACGAAGUGGCGAACGGGUGAGUAACGCGUAAUCAACCUGCCCUUCGGAGGGGGCCAACAGUUGGAAACGACUGCUAAUACCGCAUACUGAAGGAGGGGAUUGCGUCUGAUUAGCUAGUUGGGGGGGUAACGGCCCACCAAGGCGAUGAUCAGUAGCCGGUCUGGAGGGAUGAACGGCCACAUUGGGACUGGGGAACGGCCCAGACUCCUAAGGGGGGCAGCAGGGGGGAAACUUCCGCAAUUGACGGAAGUCUGACGGAGCAACGCCGCGGGAGUGAUGACGGCCUUCGGGUUGUAAAGCUCUGUUAAUCGGGACGCGGUACCGGAAUAGAAAGCCACGGCUAACUACGUGCCAGCAGCCGCGGUAAUAC
rnacentral:rRNA from 1 species